rnacentral:rRNA from 1 species
ACUGUGAAACUGCGAAUGGCUCAUUUAAAUCAGUUAUAGUUUAUUUGAUGGUCUCUACCACUUGGAUAACCGUGGUAAUUCUAGAGCUAAUACAUGCGUCGAUGCCCGACUUUUGCGGGAGGGUUGUAUUUAUUAGAUUUAAAACCAAUCGGGAUCUUCGGGUUCCGUUUCGGACGAUUCAUAGUAACUGUGUGGAGCGCAUGGCCUUCGUGCCGGCGCCGGAUCAUUCAAGUUUCUGCCCUACCAACUUUCUAUGGUAGGGUAUUGGCCUACCAUGGUUGCAACGGGUGACGGAGAAUUAGGGUUCGAUUCCGGAGAGGGAGCCUGAGAAACGGCUACCACAUCCAAGGAAGGCAGCAGGCGCGCAAAUUACCCAAUCCCGACACGGGAAAGUAGUGACAAUAAAUAACAAUACGGGGCUUUUUCAAGUCUCGUAAUUGGAAUGAGUCCAAUUUAAAUCCGUUAACGAGGAACAAUUGGAGGGCAAGUCUGGUGCCAGCAGCCGCGGUAAUUCCAGUUCCAAUAGCGUAUAUUAAAGUUGUUGCAGUUAAAAAAGCUCGUAGUUGGAUUUCAGGCCCGUUUGGCGGGUCCGCUUAACGGCGUGCACUUGCUCGGCGGGUCUUCUUCUCGAGGAGUUGGCGUGCUCUUAGUUGAGCGUGUCGACGACUCGGGACCUUUACUUUGAGUAAAUUAGAGUGUUCAAGCAGGCGUUUGGCUUGAAUAGAUUAGCAUGGAAUAACGGAAGAGGACCUUUCGGUCUUGUUUUGUUGGUUUUGGGGACCGAGGUAAUGAUUAAUUGGGACAGUCGGGGGCAUUCGUAUUGAAUUGUCAGAGGUGAAAUUCUUGGAUUUAUGAAAGACGAACGCGUGCGAAAGCAUUUGCCAAGGAUGUUUUCAUUAAUCAGGAACGAAAGUUGGAGGCUCGAAGACGAUUAGAUACCGUCGUAGUUCCAACCAUAAACGAUGCCGCCUAGGGGUCGGAGGACGUCAUUGUUGGACUCCUUCGGCACCUUGUGAGAAAUCAAAGGCUUUGGGUUCCGGGGGGAGUAUGGUCGCAAGACUGAAACUUAAAGGAAUUGACGGUGGUGCAUGGCCGUUCUUAGUUGGUGGAGUGAUUUGUCUGCCUAAUCGCGAUAACGAACGAGACCUUAACCUGCUAACUAGUCAAGCCAUUUCUCUCGCGGAAAUGACGGCCGACUUCUUAGAGGGACUAUCGUCGUCUAGUCGAUGGAAGUUUGAGGCAAUAACAGGUCUGUGAUGCCCUUAGAUGUCCUGGGCCGCACGCGCGCUACACUGACAAAGUCAACGAGUCUCACAGUCCUGCUCCGACAGGUGCGGGUAAUCUGACAAACUUUGUCGUGCUGGGGAUAGACCCUUGUAAUUCUUGGUCUCGAACGAGGAAUUCCUAGUAAGCGCGAGUCAUCAGCUCGCGUUGAUUACGUCCCUGCCCUUUGUACACACCGCCCGUCGCUACUACCGAUUGGCUGGUCGGAUGAGAACAUUGGAACGCGGCCGCUGCGGAUCGCUCUGGAGCGCGCUGCGCGAAGUUGUUCUAGUCUGUUUAGCUAGAGGAGGUAAAAGUCGUAACAAGA